ACUAUUUAAAAUGAAUUAAAAAUUACCAGAAAAGAGAAAAUUCACCAAAAAUAUCAAUUGACAAAAUAAAAAAAAAUAAAAAAUCAGAAUCAGAAACUGGAAUUUAUUUAGAGACUAAUGCAAUUGGUCCCAUAAUUUUUGGAUUAAAAAUGAGAGAGAUAUGAAUUUUUGAAAUAAAAGGAAAUAAAGAAAAUAAAAUCAGAAAAUAAAAAAGGAUGGAAAAUCAGGAAGCGUUGG
rnacentral:lncRNA from 1 species